AUGGAUCGUCGAUCAGGGGUGUUGGUGGAGUCUGGGCAGACCGAGGGUACCCCCCUACUCGGUUCCGGACGUGGGUAGCGAUCGAGGGAUAUUAUCGGGUGGCAUGACCGACAGACUGUCCGACCGCCGACCGCCGGAAUUAUCGCCGGAAAAUUUUUCCGGCGACUUUUCCGGCGAUCGACAUGGGCUGACAUGGAUUCUCCUAGGCCGUGGGUGGCGGUAUAUUCGGAAUGCGCCCGAAAUACCGAGAUGUCCCCAUGGGCAUCGAUUCCACCCGCCUAGGUUGGAUGGGCGUGCUUCGUUGGAAAGCAUGGAUCCGCCUAGGCUGUCCCGAGUUGAGCAAGGUGUGAGUGUCGCCCAUGGGCAUCGACACCUUGCGGCUUUGAACUGAAACGGAGGUACGCGCAGCUGUUACGUCGUGCAGGGUUUCUCGGCGUCACUUCUAGCGGCUUUUGCGGAUGUUCUUGGCAACCAUCUUUUGAUGGGGAAGUGGAUAUCGGCUGGUAGUGACACGAGGCUCCCGGUCUUGUGUGUAUCCUUCGCACUGCGGCUCCGAUAUUCGCAGCCUAGGUUGGAUGGGCGUGCGAAAGCAUGGAUCUGCCUAGGCUGUCUCGACGGUUUUUCGCGCUUGUGCGGCUUUGGCUUGGAUUCGUCCGUCUUCUCUCUUCUCAGCCGAAUAUUUCGGAGGAGUCGGGGAACGAUUGAUGUUUUUGGGUCAAUUGAACGUUCGGCGUAUGAGUGGUGAUCGGAUAGCUAGUGUUUGUAGGCUCCGUGCUCGCGCACCCAACUACUUACCACCUAUCCUUCUCAGUUACUUCACGGGCGAUGUUACGCUCGAUGAUCGGAUCCGGGGCCUGUGUUGCGUACCUAACUAGAAGGUAUUGUUGAGUUUGGUUUACACCUUUGUCCGCGGCAUCUCC